AGCGAUAACAUCCAGUAUGCGGUGUCCGACUAAAUAUCAGCUGGUAAUUCUGGGUCAUUACCUCCCAGACUGCCAUCUGGUAUGAAGUCUAACACCGCGCUA
rnacentral:pre_miRNA from 1 species